rnacentral:rRNA from 1 species
GAUGAACGCUGGCGGCGUGCCUAAUACAUGCAAGUCGAGCGAACGGACGAGAAGCUUGCUUCUCUGAUGUUAGCGGCGGACGGGUGAGUAACACGUGGAUAACCUACCUAUAAGACUGGGAUAACUUCGGGAAACCGGAGCUAAUACCGGAUAAUAUUUUGAACCGCAUGGUUCAAAAGUGAAUGACGGUCUUGCUGUCACUUAUAGAUGGAUCCGCGCUGCAUUAGCUAGUUGGUAAGGUAACGGCUUACCAAGGCAACGAUGCAUAGACGACCUGAGAGACUGAUAGCCCACACGGGAGCGUGACCACGGACAAGACUCCUACGGGAGGCACCAGUAGGGAAUCUUCGGCAAUAGGGGAGAGCCUGGCAGAGCGACGCCACGUGAGUGAUGAAGGUCUUCGGAUCGUAAAACUCUGUUAUUAGUGAUGAACAGAUGUGUAAGUAACUGUGCAGAUCGUGACGGUACCUAAUCAGAAAGCCACGGCUAACUACGUG